UAGUCCAUGCCGUAAACGUUGGGCACUAGGUGUGGGGUCUAUUCAACGGAUUCCGUGCCGCAGCUAACGCAUUAAGUGCCCCGCCUGGGGAGUACGGCCGCAAGGCUAAAACUCAAAGGAAUUGACGGGGGCCCGCACAAGCGGUGGAUCAUGUGGUUUAAUUCGAAGUUACGCGCAAAACCUUACCUGGGUUUGAAAUCCUACGACGAGAUAAGAGAUUAUCUUUUGCUCUUCGGAGAAUGUAGUGACAGGUGCUGCAUGGCUGUCGUCAGCUCGUGUUGUGAAAUGUUGGGUUAAGUCCCGCAACGAGCGCAACCCUUAUCUUUAGUUGCCAGCCUUAAGUUGGGCACUCUAGAGAGACUGCCCGGGUUAACCGGGAGGAAGGUGGGGAUGGACGUCAAGUCCUCAUGGCCCUUAUAUCCAGGGGCUACACACGUGAUACAAUGGUGCAUAC
rnacentral:rRNA from 1 species